GCCAGGCUAGCUCAGUUGGUAGAGCAAUGGACUACAAAUCCCUGGAUCUUGGUUUGGUCCCUUGUCUGGCC
rnacentral:tRNA from 1 species